UGUAGCCACCGGACAGCCCCAACUCCCCCGUUUGGCGAGGGGAGGACGGGGGCUGUGGAUGUGGAGGACGGCCGUGUGACGAUAUGCGCGGAGAGCAACAAGAAGACCCGUUAGAUUUAAACAAAUGGACGCAGCCGGCGGGACGUCACGAUGCGCCGUCGCCACAAAGCUCAAGACGUCGCUCACGAACGCGCUCAUUUGGCUCCCAGUCCGGAGGGAGCACUGGUUACCAGGAGCUUAUCCAAGCCCAGUGCAACCCACCCUUGUGCACCUGAGGAGGAAACAAACAUGAUACACAAAAGUACCAGAAGUGAAGACGAGAUGUUCCUCCAACUUCCAGGUGUGUGUGUGUGUGUGUGAGUGUGCUGCUGCAGAGAGUUGUGUUUGCAGGCCUGAGGGGUUGUCUGUUAUCUUUGGUUAUCUAGCUGUAUGAGUGACGUACAUUUUUCAUAAAGCUAGAUAACCGAAAGUAACAAGAAUCCCAUUACACGCCUGCACAGUGAAAAACUAAAUGAAAAGCACAAGAAGAAUCAGGAAUGGGCUCGGACAAUGACCACGUGAAGGUUUCCGAUCAGUCUGAAGUUGGAAAUCAUCGGAUCUUUGCCUCCUUGCUCUUUGGGACUGGGACUUUGAGUCCAGUGACGUUCGUCUGACUCAGGACUACAUCUUUAACUGCUCACGAAGACACACACAGGUUCUGGGAGAGCAGCCGUCUCCAGCGACGAGUCAAAACUGAUAUCGGACGCGACAGCAGGACAUCUUUAUGUGAAUGAAGACAGAAACCAACCGGCGACAGAAGAUUUCGGUACAAGAGGACCAACUGACUGAAACAGAGAGUAGAAGACGGCAAAAGUGAUCUGUGUGUGUGUGUGUGUGUGUGUGUGUGUAGUGAGUGUGUUAUUGGGAGCUGCUGUGCAUAGAUGUUCAGGAAACUUCUGUACUACAUUUUCAUGUAGGUCAGAGCUUGGAUUACACACACGAGGUUCAAUCUAUUUUGAGUUUUUUUUUUUACUAUCAGUAAUUAGUUUCCCAAUGUAUUAUUAUCCCUGAGAUGAGAAUCCUAUCUUAGAUCCUAAAUUAUAGAUUUUACAUUCCAUUUUCUUACAUUUAUCUUUUGAAUUAUGUUUGUUUAUAAUUAUUUCAGUGAACAUUUAAAUGUCUAUAUUUGUGUCAUGUUGACAAUCUGUGUGAAACACAUUAUUUGAUGGACUUGGUCCAUCAACUAUGAAUUGUAUAACAAUCAUUUAGAUGACUAUUUUAAAUUUUAUUUUUAAACAACUAGUUUCCUUCAUAUUCCAUCUUCUCAUAUUAGAGUUUUUAUUUAUUCCAUUGCUAUCUAAGGGAUGUAUAACCAUGGCAUGCAAAAGGAGUAGGUGGUAAAAUCAGCUCUUAUGGAGGUCUUUCCCAGGCUUUUUUUUUUUACAGAGGUAUUUAGAUUUUGAUUUAGCGUACACAUUUAAUAAAUAGGGCCAUUAUCCCUGCAGGAAGCGUUUUUGUGCAAUCAAAACAACAAUAUGUUUAAUUUUUUUCUCUAUGCAAAAGAAAGGAGUAGGAGGUUUUUAAGUUUGCACUAUUUGUAUAAGUGUUUGCACAAUAAUUGUAUUGUUAAGUUUGCACAGCGAAAUAUAUACGGGUUGAGUUUGUGUGAGAGAAUUGUGAUGUUAUACUAAUAUGCACUAUAUGAGCAGAGCUGCAAUGUGUGUUGAAGUAAGUUUUCUUAGAGGUUUGAUGAGAAACAAUACAGACUUAUUCUAUUGUUUUAUCAGUAAUUGCACAGGAAAAGUGGAUAUAUUCAUUUUAAAUCAGUUCCUUUGUUAAUGUCAUACGAACAUGUGAAUGCAUGGGAUUUUGUUUUGAUCCAUCGUGGAGAAUUUGUGAAUAUGUGCAAUAGAUUUUAUGCAUUUUGAAUACUAUUCAGAGGGAAUAAUUGAUUAUAUUGCACGAUGGAUGACUGUUUGAGGAGUCUUAUAUAAGAAGGAUUUGCACAUGAGCUGCUGUUAAUGUGCUCCAUUUCUGUACUAUGCAACUGUUUCAACUGCUGUUUAUUUGAAUCAAUAAAAGUGUGUUUACAAUGAGACAA